UACGUAGGGUGCGAGCGUUGUCCGGAUUUAUUGGGCGUAAAGAGCUCGUAGGCGGCUUGUCGCGUCAACUGUGAAAACCCGUGGCUCAACCAUGUGGUCUGCAGUCGAUACGGGCAGGCUAGAAUUCGGUAGGGGAGACUGGAAUUCCUGGUGUAGCGGUGAAAUGCGCAGAUAUCAGGAGGAACACCGGUGGCGAAGGCGGGUCUCUGGGCCGAUACUGACGCUGAGGAGCGAAAGCGUGGGGAGCGAACAGG
rnacentral:rRNA from 1 species